UUAAUACAACCAAAACACGUCAUAAAAAAGUUAUAAAAGUUGGUGCAAAUUAGUUACCUUUAAAAAGUUCAUGUAUUUACUACGUAGAUCACAAAUCUGCUAAAAGCAGCAUGUUCAUUAUUUUUAAAAGCUACAUCUAGAUGUGCCUUCAAGGCGGGGAAUACUCAUGUAGCAAGUUUAAUUUACAGACAUUUACAGAUUCAAAUAACAAUUGAAAACAAAUAUAACUAAAUGUAGUUACAUUUGUAAAUCAAAAGGUUAAAUGAUUCAAUUUAAAUGGAGUUUAUUGUAAUUAGUUGUCUUUAAAGUAUCAGUCUAAAAAUUAUUAGGACUCUAUUAAGACACUUCGAACUUGAAGAAAUUAAAGUGUGAACAUAGAGUUUGUAGAAGAGUAUUACACUGGACCCCUUUCUAUUCGCGGUUCAGUCUUUGCAGAUUCGUUGAGUCUUCUUUUGAAGAAUGAAAUAUUUUGUAGAUCUAAAGUACACAAAUGAAACUGCAGCUUGGGAAUCUGGCAGAACCGAACAUACUGCUGUUUGACUCAGAUUGGUUGUAAGACCAGCAAUAAGGAAAAGUGCACAUGUUAGCUGCUGUGCUACUGCUGAGACACUUCCCACUGUGCGUAUUAAUGCAUAUUUGUGUUUCAGCUGUUAAAAUGGGCACUUUAGAUUUUAGAGGGGGUGUGAAAUAUUUACAAAAUUUAAUUUGUUAAAGACCUGGGGUCCACUAAACAUUUCAAGCAAAUUUUAGUAGGCUUCCUUUUUUUGAUUGUUAGAACUGUGGUUCACAUUCCUUUGUUUCUCCUGUGUGGUUCUCAUGUGAUUUGUUAAAUUACUUUUUAGAAGUGAAUCUUCUUCCACAACUAACACCUGUCUAAGGCCUCUCACCUGUGUGAGCUCUCAUGUGAUAAACUAAACCAGUUUUUAGGCUGUAACUUUUUCCGCAGGUGAUGCAUGAGAAAGGCCUCUCACCUGUGUGGCUCUCAUGUGUCUUGUCAAGUGACUAUUUUGACAAAACAAACUAUCACAAAUUCGACAGGAUUACAGCUUCUUAUCUAUCAGAGUUUUCUUGCUCUUUUUCAGUUGAAAACUGGUUUUCCUACAUCUAUUAAUUUUUUGCUUUGGUUCUUCAUCGCCUGUUGUCACACAGAUAUGCUCCUGGUUCUCAGCUUCAGAAGCAACCUGGAAGAUAAUUGGGGUUCCACUUGGUUCUGGUCCGGUGUGGCAUUCUUCCUGAUUAGCUGGAGUCAAUGUGAAGGUUUUUGUCUCCUGCUUCGGCACCAGCGUCUCUUCUUCCUGACUGAUGCAGAGUUCCUGCUCUUCUGGUUUUAUCUAUGUUCCAGUUCCGGUUCCUCCUGGACUGCACUACUGCUCCUCUCCUGGUCAGAGAAAUGUUGAUGCACCAGCUCCACCUGCUCCUCUUCUUCCUCUUGGUCCUGUUUCAUCAGAAGAGGUUCUGGUUCCUCCUCGUCCAAACUGGUUUUCU